CGGCAUGCCUUACACAUGCAAGUCGAGCGGCAGCGCGGGGGCAACCCUGGCGGCGAGCGGCGAACGGGUGAGUAAUGCAUCGGAACGUGUCCUCUUGUGGGGGAUAACCAGUCGAAAGACUGGCUAAUACCGCAUGAGAUCGAGAGAUGAAAGCGGGGGACCGCAAGGCCUCGCGCGAGAGGAGCGGCCGAUGCCGGAUUAGCUAGUUGGCGGGGUAAUGGCCCACCAAGGCGACGAUCCGUAGCUGGUCUGAGAGGACGACCAGCCACACUGGGACUGAGACACGGCCCAGACUCCUACGGGAGGCAGCAGUGGGGAAUUUUGGACAAUGGGGGCAACCCUGAUCCUGCCAUGCCGCGUGUGUGAAGAAGGCCUUCGGGUUGUAAAGCACUUUCGGACGGAACGAAAUCGCGCGAUCUAAUAAGUCGCGUGGAUGACGGUACC
rnacentral:rRNA from 1 species